rnacentral:rRNA from 1 species
UACAGAGGUCCCAAGCGUUGUCCGGAUUUACUGGGCGUAAAGAGCGCGCAGGCGGUUGUGCAAGUCGCGUGUGAAAGCCCCCGGCUCAACUGGGGAGGGUCACGCGAUACUGUUCGACUUGAAGGCAGGAGAGGGAAGUGGAAUUCCCGGUGUAGUGGUGAAAUGCGUAGGUAUCGGGAGGAACACCAGUGGCGAAGGCGACUUCCUGGCCUGUUCUUGACGCUGAGGCGCGAAAGCUAGGGUAGCAAACGGG